CCUGAGCUCCUCCCCUGGGGUCUCUUCUGGGCAGUGGCUGCCCUGUCUUCUGACCUCCUGUCUUCUGGCCACCAAACCAAUGGCGGCUCAGCGGCAGCGGGCGCUGGCCAUCAUGUGCCGUGUCUACGUGGGCUCUAUCUACUACGAGCUGGGGGAGGACACCAUCCGCCAGGCCUUUGCACCCUUUGGCCCCAUCAAGAGCAUCGACAUGUCCUGGGAUUCCGUCACCAUGAAGCACAAGGGCUUUGCCUUCGUGGAGUAUGAGGUCCCCGAAGCUGCACAGCUGGCCUUGGAGCAGAUGAACUCGGUGAUGCUGGGGGGCAGGAACAUCAAGGUGGGCAGACCCAGCAACAUAGGGCAGGCCCAGCCCAUCAUAGACCAGCUGGCUGAGGAGGCACGGGCCUUCAACCGCAUCUACGUGGCCUCUGUGC
rnacentral:sRNA from 1 species